CCUACGGGAGGCAGCAGUCGGGAAUUUUGGGCAAUGGGCGAAAGCCUGACCCAGCAACGCCGCGUGAAGGAUGAAGUAUUUCGGUAUGUAAACUUCGUAAGAAUGGGAAGAAACAAAUGACGGUACCAUUUGUAAGCCCCGGCUAACUACGUGCCAGCAGCCGCGGUAAUACGUAGGGGGCAAGCGUUGUUCGGAUUUACUGGGCGUAAAGGGCGCGUAGGCGGCGAAACAAGUCACUUGUGAAAUCUCUGGGCUUAACUCAGAACGGCCAAGUGAUACUGUUUUGCUAGAGUGCAGAAAGGGCAAUCGGAAUUCUUGGUGUAGCGGUGAAAUGCGUAGAUAUCAAGAGGAACACCUGAGGCGAAGGCGGGUUGCUAGGCUGACACUGACGCUGAUGCGCGAAAGCUAGGGUAGCAAACGGGAUUAGAUACCCCAGUAGUC
rnacentral:rRNA from 1 species